CGUGAGUAACCUGCCCUGGAGUGGGGAAUAACAGCUGGAAACAGCUGCUAAUACCGCAUAAUGCAGUUGGGCCGCAUGGCUCUGACUGCCAAAGAUUUAUCGCUCUGGGAUGGACUCGCGUCUGAUUAGCUAGUUGGUGGGGCAACGGCCCACCAAGGCGACGAUCAGUAGCCGGACUGAGAGGUUGACCGGCCACAUUGGGACUGAGACACGGCCCAGACUCCUACGGAAGGCAGCAG
rnacentral:rRNA from 1 species